UACGUAGGGUGCAAGCGUUAAUCGGAAUUACUGGGCGUAAAGCGUGCGCAGGCGGUUAUAUAAGACAGUUGUGAAAUCCCCGGGCUCAACCUGGGAACUGCAUCUGUGACUGUAUAGCUAGAGUACGGUAGAGGGGGAUGGAAUUCCGCGUGUAGCAGUGAAAUGCGUAGAUAUGCGGAGGAAUACCGAUGGCGAAGGCAGCCCCCUGGGAUAACACUGACGCUCAUGUACGAAAGCGUGGGUAGCAAACAGG
rnacentral:rRNA from 1 species